GAACAACUUCACCACCAUUAGUGACAGUGGACCUGCAUGGAAAGAGGGAUGAAGAGAGAGAAAUGGUUUGAGAUCAUUCUAUUUUAUUGCAACUGCACAAAAACUGACAGAGUGACCAUGCCAUUUCACCCUCCUGUGACUCACCUGCUGUUCUCCACGAGGUAGAGCACGAUCUUGUCCAGCACCUUCUCGAUGAGGGCCGUGCGGAUCCAAAGGUUUCUGACCACCUGCGGGCUGAGGCUGGGCAGCCUGGACAGUAUCCCUCCUGAGCCUUUCUGCACAGCACCUCUGCCGGGGCGAAGCUCUUCCCCACCUUCAUGAAGAGCGCUGCUAUCUUGUUGCUACGCAGGAAUCCCGCCGCUCGCCGCUUAAGCCCAUG